UAAAGAAUGUUUGAAUAAAAAAAAAUUAGAAUUGAAAGCUAAUAUAUGAUAAAUAAUAUAUGGAUAAUUAUAAUUUUAUAUAAUAAUAAUUUGUUCUGGAUUUGAAUAAUAUUAGUUAUAUAAAUUAGAAAAUUAGCAUUAGAACUUAAUAAGUGAACUUAUUUUAUAUUGUCUUGGGUAUUUUCAAUAAAGUUUAAUAAAAUUUAAAUGUUCUUUAUUAUAGUUUGAGUUUUUUCU
rnacentral:tRNA from 1 species